rnacentral:rRNA from 1 species
CCCUAUGGGGUGCAGCAGGCGAGAAAACUUUGCAAUGUGCGAAAGCACGACAAGGUUAAUCCGAGUGAUUUCUGCUAAAGAAAUCUUUUGCCAGUCAUAAAACCACUGGUGAAUAAGGGGUGGGCAAGUUCUGGUGUCAGCCGCCGCGGUAAAACCAGCACCUCAAGUGGUCAGGAUGAUUAUUGGGCCUAAAGCAUCCGUAGCCGGCUUUGUUAGUUUUCGGUUAAAUCCAUGUGCUCAACGCAUGGGCUGCCGAAAAUACUGCAUAGCUAGGGAGUGGGAGAGGUAGACGGUACUCAGUAGGAAGGGGUAAAAUCCUUUGAUCUAUUGAUGACCACCUGUGGCGAAGGCGGUCUACCAGAACACGUUCGACGGUGAGGGAUGAAAGCUGGGGGAGCAAACCGGAUUAGAUACCCGGGUAGUCCCAGCUGUAAACGAUGCAGACUCGAUGAUGCAUUGGCAUAAUAGCCAGUGCAGUGUCGCAGGGAAGCCGUUAAGUCUGCCGCCUGGGAAGUACGUACGCAAGUAUGAAACUUAAAGGAAUUGGCGGGGGAGCACCACAAGGGGUGAAGCCUGCGGUUCAAUUGGAGUCAACGCCAGAAAUCUUACCCGGAGAGACAGCAGAAUGAAGGUCAAGCUGAAGACUUUACCAGACAAGCUGAGAGGAGGUGCAUGGCC